AGCCGCGGUAAUACAUAGGGGGCAAGCGUUAUCCGGAAUUAUUGGGCGUAAAGGGUGAGUAGGCGGUAAGUUAAGUUUAGGGUAUAAGCACAUUGCUCAACGAUGUGAGGCUCUAAAAACUGGCUAACUAGAGUUAGAUAGAGGCAAGUGGAAUUCCAUGUGUAGCGGUAAAAUGCGUAAAUAUAUGGAGGAACACCAGUGGCGAAGGCGGCUUGCUGGGUCUAUACUGACGCUGAGGCACGAAAGCGUGGGGAGCAAACAGGAUUAGAUACCCUGGUAGUCCACGCCGUAAACGAUGAGUACUAAGUGUCGGAAUAAUUCGGUGCUGUAGUUAACGCAAUAAGUACUCCGCCUGAGUAGUACGUGCGCAAGCAUGAAACUCAAAGGAAUUGACGGGACCCCGCACAAGCGGUGGAUCAUGUUGUUUAAUUCGAAGAUACGCGAAGAACCUUACCAGGCCUUGACAUACUCUGCAAAGCUAUAGAGAUAUAGCGGAGGUUAUCAGAUGUACAGGAGGUGCAUGGCC
rnacentral:rRNA from 1 species